rnacentral:tRNA from 1 species
GGGACUAUAGCUCAGUGUGGUCUAGAGCGCUCGGCUUAUAACCGUGAGGUCUUGGGUUCAAAUCCCAAUAGUCCUACCA